rnacentral:misc_RNA from 1 species
AACUUUCAGCAACGGAUCACUUGGCUCUCUCAUCGAUAAAGAACGCAGCAAAAUGCGAUAAGUAAUGUGAAUUGCAGAAUUCAUUGAAUCAUCGAAUCUUUGAACGCACCUUGCGCUCCUUGGUAUUCCGAGGAGCAUGCCUGUUUGAGUGUCAUUAAAUUCUCAACCUUGUCAGCAUCUGAUAAUGGCUUGGAUGUGGGGGGUUUGCUGGCUCUGUCAGCUCCCCUUAAAUGCAUUAGCUGGUGCCCUGUAUUGGUGUGAUAAUUAUCUACGCCAUGGAUUAGCGCUGCUUCUAACUGUCCGUUCAUUCGGACAAUACAAUGACAAUUUGACCUCAAAUCAGGUAGGACUACCUGCUGAACUUAAGCAUAUCAAUAAGCGGAGGCU